UGUGUAACUCGGACUGAACUGGAAGUGAGAGAUCUGUCUGCCUCUGCCUCCCAAGUGCUGGGAUUAAGAAAGGUCAGGAUAUAAAGCUCUCAGUUAUGGCUCUAGCGCCACACCUGCCUGGCUGCUUCCUGCCCUGAAGAUCAUGAUCUAACCCUCUAAAACUGUAAUUAAGCCCCAAAUUAAAUGCUUUCUUUUAUAAGUUGCCUUGGUAAUAGUUUCUCCUCACGGUGACAGAACAGGGACUAAGAGCUGAGGCUCCUUAUCAGGCAUGAGCAGGCUGCAGAGGCCCAGGCCCGGCCCAGCAAACCAGACUCCAGGCCUUCAAGCCUAUGCCAUGUUUUACCAUACAAAGCCUAUCCACAGAGCGAGCACAAUGUAACACAAGUGUAAACAGAGACAGAUGCCCUUGCUGUUGUUACAAGAGGCUCUUCUGUCUGGCAGCUCAACUGACAUGGUGCAAAUUUAAGUAAAAGGGAUCAAAAUAUCCUCCCCGAGUCUACUCUAACAAACGGAUUGUCCUGCAAUGAAGGAAACUGAGAAUCGUCGGAUCCUUUGUCAGAGCUUUUUCUAUCUGAUUAAAGCAAAAGACUUCUGAGAAACGAGGACUGUGGGAGAAGACAAAAAGCUGGCAUCCAGCACGGCCUCACUGACUAACCCGCGGCUACUGCUGCUCUUCCUCUCACUGACUGCGCCUAGGAGCCUCCGUCGUCAGCCUUUCAUCAAAAAGAUGUACGAACUUCCCAAGUUUGUGAGAUUCCAAUUUCAGAUUUCAGGUUUUUGGUUUGUUUUGAUUGUGGGGUGUGCGUGUCUGUGUGUGUGCAUACAUGCACACAUACAUGUAAGAACACACUUGGAAGUCAGAGACCAACCUCAUACAUUUACCUUGGCUUUUGAGACCAAGCUCUCUUGGUGGCCAGAGCUCCCUGAGGGUAGGGCUGGUCACCUGUCUCUCCAGCACCUUGACCACAAGCUCAGGCCGACACCACACUUGGCUGUUUCAGGUGGGUUCUUCAGAGUGAGCUCAAGUCUUCCCAUGCACUUGACUGACUAAACCAUCCCCUAAUCCCAUAACUGUGACUUUUUUUUUCAGACAGGGCUUCACUGUGAAGCUCUGGCUGGCCCAGAAUUUGUUAUAUAGACCAGGCUGACCUCAAACUAACAGAGAUCUGUGUGCUUCUGCCUCCUGAAUGAUGGGGAAAGGUAUGCAUGACCACAUCGGGCCUUUAAAUAGAUUUUUAACUGAUAAUGAAAAUAUUAAAAAGUUUAUAUUUAUAGAGUACCAUGGGAUAUUUUGAAACUUGCAUAUACUGUGAAAUGCUUAAACCAAGUCAAAUGCUUAAAUCUAUCUCAUUUUUAUAUGGCGAGAACAGUAGUUCUUUCUUCUAGCCUUUGGAAAUAUCUAUAGACAUUCAGCUGUGGAACACCUCGCUCCUGCCUGUAACGUGAGACCCAUCAAUUAAACUGUCCUUUGCCUCCCUCUGUCCUCUCCAGCCUCCGGGUGGCUGACACCCUGCUCUUAGUUUCUGUGAAUUCGACUGUUUGGGUGCUAAGGACUGAAUCUAGGGCCUUAUGCAAGCACUGACCUGCAGUGACAGUGAGAGGGACUUGUGGGCAUGUGUGUGUGUGUGUGUGUGUAUGGGUGUGCACAUGCCACAUCACACAUGUGGAGGUCAGAGAGUAACCUCUCCAGUCAGUCCUCACCUUCCAUCAUUUUAAAUAUGUUUUACACAUUGGGGGGCAGGGCACAUGCUAUACCACAUGUGUGCAGAUCAGGGGACAGUUAGCCAGAGCUGCUUCUUUCUUUUUAUUUAUUUAUUUUCCUAGCCUGAGAUGAAUGUUUUGGGUUUGGUUUUGAGACACAGGUUUUCUUCUCUGUGUAGCCCUGGCUGACCUGGAACUCACUCUAUAGACCAGGCUGGCCCUGAACUCACUGCCUGCCCCUGCUUCGUGAGCACUGGGCUCAAAGGUGUGCGCCACCAUGCCUGGUUGAAAUGGACGUUUUUAUUUAGCACUUCUGAGUGACGGGCAGGACUUUCCUCCCAGGGCCUGACUUGUUCUACUUUAUGAACAUCAUUGUACCCCAGGCCCAGAGACACUGCCGCAGAGACACUGCCGCAGAGACGCUGCCGCAGUGACAGGCAGGCCUUUGCUCCUUUCGUCCCUAUACCUGACUCACAGCUACAAUGAGGAGCAUCUCCGUCAGCCACUCGCCUGCCAACAAGUACUUAGGCUGUCUCCAAGCUUAGCUAUUGUGAAUAACGCUGCAGCAAGCCCAGGGCACGGAUGUUUCUUUAACACACUGAUGUCACUUCCUUUGGAUCAUAUGGUAGAGCUACUUAUUUUUAAAGUAGGUACAUCAAAAAUAGUUAUUUUGAGGUGCAGAAUGGGCUUGGAAAGGGCACAAUUUAGUUAAUAACAAGGUCUAGUGAUAAGAGGUCUUGGGCUUAUCAAGGGUCUGGUGUUUGGGAACGAUAUGAUAAUGUCAACAAUCUCAUACUUAAUUCUUAGUUUCUAGAACAUACUAUGCAAAUAAGAAUAAGUAGCUAAACCAAAACUAAGAAAACAAACUCCAAGCACGCAUGCACACGGUGACUGGCCAGCGCUACCACAUUCUUACUGACCUUUAUUUUGAAACGUUAUUUAGCCUGUGAGUACUGCCAGAAUAAAAGCUGCUGGGAAGAAGAUUAAAAAAUGGCACAGAAGAGCUCUCUGUCCCCACUCCUAGAUCUUGUUAAUGCCCUGCAUGCGUGUUGUGUCCCUUAAGUCUAGACUCAUGUUCGUGCAUGUGAGAGAAUGUGACUCUGAGGUCAGGCAGGAGCUCACCGGCUCUGGAGCUCACUUGGGGGGCAGUGGGCAGAAGGGGGCAGAGAGGAGAUGGCAGGUAUCGCUGUGUGUUCUGACAUCAGUUGGUGCUGGGCCUUUGUUCAAAUACAAUGAUCCGCUCUUACGUUAAUGUGGUGUUUUAUAGACUGGAAACCCUGUCACACGCAUGGUCUUAUUUGAUCCUUUAACAGUCCCUGGUAACUGGGAAGAGUCAAAGCCAGAAGAAAGCUACUCUGAACCAUUGUAGAAUUAGCAGAAUUUCCCCUCUAACCCAAAGCAGAUGGUUUGAGCUAAAUCUAGCAAACUUUGUCAGAAAAUACAAUUGAUUUUAUGACCUUUGAUAUAUUAUAAUUCCACAGAUAGAAAAUUAAGAUUUUGUUUACUUUAAAUUGUCCACAAUUCUACAAGCUGGAGUUUCAAAGUUCAUGUCUGUGUGAAAGGCAGGCAAAGGCAGCCAGCUCCUAACCAGGGAAGAUCUAAGAUCUUUCGUGGCCACCACCUUUCAUGUAGUAGACACUGAACGUUUUGGAAGUGGCGGUAAGAGAACAGUGUGUAGGGAUGGGACACCAGGACUCACUCUUGCCCCUGCGAGAAGGAAAAGCUACAGAGAAAGAGAAACCAGGAGCGAGGACAUAAUUCAGCUGUUGAAGUGCUUGCCCAGGUGCAAGAGGCCCCAGUUUCACUGCUACUGCCACAAAAACGGGAUGGCAACAAACACCUGUAACCCAGCACUGAGGAAGGAGAGACAGGAGGAUCACAAGUUGGUCACCCUCUACUACACAGUAAAUUCAAGGCUAGCCUAGGCAUCCUGUGUUCCAAUCACCCCCUAAAAAAAAGAGCAGUGGGGAGGAUUGUGGGAAAAUGCUAAUGAACUUGAAGCUCAGAGGAAGACAAAUUGAUGUUUAAAAUAAUAAAACAUGGUAACAAGACUAAGCAACAAUGCUACAUCUUUCUUCACACUGGCGAGGAUCAUUUUAUCCCAUUUCACAGGAAGAUAAUGAGUAAUCUGUGUAAAGGCACAGAAGUAGUAAGUAAAAUAACCACUUUUAAAAUACACAUCUGGCCAGGCAUAGUUGUCCAUGCCCAUGACCUCAGCAACAGAGAAGCUAAAACAGAGAGUCACCAUGGAGCAGAGGCCAGCCUGGACUACAUACUGACUUCAAGAUCAGCCUGGGUUACUGAAAAAGACCUUGUCUCAAAACCAACCAACUAACCAACCAGUCAACCAACCAACCCACCAGCCAAC